AUUGAACGCUGGCGGCAUGCUUUACACAUGCAAGUCGAACGGUAACGCGGGGCAACCUGGCGACGAGUGGCGAACGGGUGAGUAAUGCAUCGGAACGUGCCCGGUAGUGGGGGAUAACUGCUCGAAAGAGCAGCUAAUACCGCAUACGACCUGAGGGUGGAAGGGGGGGAUCGCAAGACCUCUCGCUAUCGGAGCGGCCGAUGUCGGAUUAGCUAGUUGGUGGGGUAAAGGCCCACCAAGGCGACGAUCCGUAGCUGGUCUGAGAGGACGACCAGCCACACUGGGACUGAGACACGGCCCAGACUCCUACGGGAGGCAGCAGUGGGGAAUUUUGGACAAUGGACGCAAGUCUGAUCCAGCCAUGCCGCGUGCGGGAAGAAGGCCUUCGGGUUGUAAACCGCUUUUGUCAGGGAAGAAAUCUUCUGAGUUAAUACCUCGGGAGGAUGACGGUACCUGAAGAAUAAGCACCGGCUAACUACGUGCCAGCAGCCGCCGUAAGAC
rnacentral:rRNA from 1 species